CGAGGCCGAGAGGCGUAGUUGAUGGGAAGCAGUGAUACAAUAUUCCUGCCCCGCCAUGACAUAAAAGUGACGGCAGAUGUCAGCUGAUCGCGGUUAAUGGCUAUCCGUUGAUUGGUUAAAAUCUGCCGAGAAAAGCGAGUCAUGGCGAUCGUACCGCAAACCGACACAGGUGGACGGGUAGAAGAUACUAAGGCGCGCGAGUGAGCCGUGCUUAAGGAACUCGGCAAAAUUGACCCCGUAACUUCGGGAGAAGGGGUGCCGCAGCAAUGCGGCCGCAGAGAAAUGGCCCAAGCGACUGUUUACCACAAACACAUCACUCUGCUAACACGUCAAGUGGACGUAUAGGGUGUGACACCUGCCCCGGUGCUGGAAGGUUAAGAGGAGAGGUCAGCCGCAAGGUGAAGCUUUGAAUCGAAGCCCCAGUAAACGGCGGCCGUAACUAUAACGGUCCUAAGGUAGC
rnacentral:rRNA from 1 species